CGGUUAAACCGCCCUCGGGCGGACAUACAGUGGCGAACGGGUGAGUAACACGUGACCAACCUGCCCCGCGCUCCGGGACAACCGCUGGAAACGGCGGCUAAUACCGGAUACUCCGCGGCCCCCGCAUGGGGGCGGCGGGAAAGCCCCGACGGCGCGGGAUGGGGUCGCGGCCCAUUAGGUAGUAGGCGGGGUAGAGGCCCACCUAGCCGACGAUGGGUAGCCGGACUGAGAGGUCGAUCGGCCACAUUGGGACUGAGAUACGGCCCAGACUCCUACGGGAGGCAGCAGUGGGGAAUUUUGCGCAAUGGGGGGAACCCUGACGCAGCAACGCCGCGUGCGGGACGAAGGCCCUCGGGUCGUAAACCGCUUUCAGCAGGGAAGACCACGACGGUACCUGCAGAAGAAGCUCCGGCUAACUACGUGCCAGCAGCCGCGGUAAUACGUAGGGGGCGAGCGUUAUCCGGAUUCAUUGGGCGUAAAGCGCGCGUAGGCGGCCGCCUAAGCGGAACCUCUAACCCCGGGGCUCAACCUCGGGCCGGGUUCCGGACUGGGCGGCUCGAGUGCGGUAGAGGAGAGCGGAAUUCCCGGUGUAGCGGUGGAAUGCGCAGAUAUCGGGAAGAACACCGAUGGCGAAGGCAGCUUUCUGGGCCGUCACUGACGCUGAGGCGCGAAAGCUGGGGGAGCGAACAGGAUUAGAUACCCUGGUAGUCCCAGCCGUAAACGAUGGAUACUAGGUGUGGGGGGAUCCCCCCUCCGUGCCGCAGCCAACGCAUUAAGUAUCCCGCCUGGGGAGUACGGCCGCAAGGCUAAAACUCAAAGGAAUUGACGGGGGCCCGCACAAGCAGCGGAGCAUGUGGCUUAAUUCGAAGCAACGCGAAGAACCUUACCAGGGCUUGACAUGCGCCUGAAGCCGCGGAGACGCGGUGGCCGAGAGGAGGGCGCGCAGGUGGUGCAUGGCUGUCGUCAGCUCGUGUCGUGAGAUGUUGGGUUAAGUCCCGCAACGAGCGCAACCCCCGUCCCGUGUUGCCAGCAUUAGGUUGGGGACUCGCGGGAGACUGCCGGCGUCAAGCCGGAGGAAGGUGGGGACGACGUCAAGUCAUCAUGCCCCUUAUGCCCUGGGCUGCACACGUGCUACAAUGGCCGGUACAGAGGGUUGCCACCCCGCGAGGGGGAGCGGAUCCCGGAAAGCCGGCCCCAGUUCGGAUCGCAGGCUGCAACCCGCCUGCGUGAAGCCGGAGUUGCUAGUAAUC
rnacentral:rRNA from 1 species